CUGUGACUUUUUCAGUCAGCGCCUGAGCCGCGGUAAUCAUCGGGAAUAAAGAAAGAGCAGUUUGUUUGUAGAACGGAAGUGAGAAGUUUUUUUGCAAUACCUAUUACUAAAUUAAUGAAUUAUAUGUAGAUUUAAAAGAAAUCCGGCAAUUAAUAUUCGAAAUUAAUCAAUUUUGACUAUGUGAAAAUUGUAACAUUCGUGACAUGUUGGAAGCUUGUACCAAAAUUUGAUAUUUAAUUUAACUUUAAAAAUGUAUUUAAUAAAAAUAGGCGACAAUAAGGAAAUUUAACAUAUUGGCUCAAAUUCAAAAACGCAAGAGAAAUCUUGCUUUGUUUAUAUAAAUAACUAAAUCAACACGACUAAUACUUAAUACGCAUUUCUUAGAAAAACAGAUUCAAAUUAUUUUUUACCUUCCAAAAAUGAUGAAAUAAAAAGAACAGCUAGGUUGAGAUCGUCUCAAAGUUCAAUAAAUGAUUUUGCCGCUCGAAGAUUUAGAUUGUAGCUUUGCCAUUUUUUUUAAACCUAAGAGAACUGACAAAAAGGAAUAUGAAAGUUUCUUUUGUGCAGAAGAACCAAGUAAAUGGACAUAAGUUUAUGGCAGGUUUUAUGAUAUUGAGAACUCGUCGCUUUUGUUCGUAAUAGGCAAUUAAUUUCAAAUUAGAAAAUAGUAUAAAGGAUAUUCAGUUUGACCCAUCAAGUAGAGUAAUCCGCUAUUAAUGGUGUGAAAAAGUAGAAAAAUUUGAAAAAAGCGUACAUUUUCGAAUAGAAACCCAUUUACAUGCUUACUUAGCACACGCAAAAUCCUUAAAUUUCUCUUCCCUAUAUCGAGAGAAGUGAAAAUAUAGAAUAGUGAAUGCAUCAAACGCAAAGAUUUGAAGCCGGUGCAAUGUUAAACAUAUUUGACGGCUAAUCGUCACAAAAAAAUGACAUUGAUGACCUCGAAUUGCGCAAAUUUUGACUUCAUAUUUAAAACUCGAAACUCAUGAAUAUUAAGCCUAGAUAAUUUGUUCGCAUAAUUUCUUCUCAAUCCCACAAAUUAAUUAUCCAUGUAUCGAUAGCAAUGGAAUCAAUUGAUUUAUUAAAUUAAAGUAGAUAUCUUCCCCUCCUCAUUUGAUUAGAAAA